AUUUGGUGAUGAGGGCAACUAGCACAUAACCACUUGAAUCGUUCCCAAUAUUCAUAUAGUGACUCUCCAGUAACCUGUUCGAGACCACAUAUUUCUUUUUUUAUGCU